UUUUGGCUAAAAUCCAUGUCAUUUAUUUAUUCAACAAACAACUGAGCAUCUUCUAUGUUCUAGGCCAUAUCCUUGGCACUGUGAAUGAAGAUAAACCCUGGCCCUCAAGGAGCUCACAGUCUAGUGGGGAAAAAAGAUGCAUACAUAAAUAAAUAUAAUGAAGAGGAUGCAAAGGGGACCACUAUGGGAGGCAAGCAGCAGGGGAAUCUGAUCCUGUGGUUAAUGUCCACAUUACCCAUUGGCUAAUGGGCAUUUUUUUUUGUGAAGAAUAGAUAAGGCAAUGGUUCUCAAAGUAUGGCUGGCUAAUUAUCCACAUCAGAAUCACCUGGAGCACAUAUUAAAAUUUAGAUUCCCAGCACCUUCAGCAAAGAUUAAGAUUCAGCAGGUUGGGGAUUUGGGGCCUGGGAAUCUGCAUUUCAAGUGCUCUGUGUAAUUCUACUGCAACUUAAAGUGCGAGAACCUGUGAGAUAAGGUUUGCUUUUUAAACUUGAAUGAAGAAUGAUCUGCACAUCUGAAAUGCUAAUUUGUGUUGGUCUUUAAUGAAAGGAAGGGGAAGUAGAGAAGAGGAAGAGAGCAGGCGUUUACUAAGCUCUACUUUAAUCUAUAUUUAAGUUAAUUUAAUUCUUACAAUAAUCCUGUGAGGUAGAUAUUAUCCCCAUUUUACAGAUGAAGAAACAGAAUUAGAGAGUUUAAAUAAUUUGUUCAACAUUAUAGAGCUAAUGAAUCCCAACAAUGAACCCAGAUUCGCUUAACUCUAAAGACUGUCCACUUUCUGUAACACCAUCUGGCACCAGGGCACAAAUUUACUGAUGAAUGUUACAACUUUCUUUUAGUUCUUUGCCAGAUCUCAUCAGGUAAAUGUAAAGAACAGCCAGAUGAUACCUUGAUCACGUCCAAUGUAACUGACAAUGGAUACAUCCUUCUUUGCUAAGUGGGGAUUUAGGGCAAAGCUGGGAGAAACAACAAAAUGAGCAACCAGUUCUUCUUUCUUUUCCCAUCAUUUUCUCAUCCUUUGGUGGAGGUGUUAUGCAAAUGUACCAUGGUUAAGAACUGGGUCCAUCUGGAGGGAAAAGCAAACGUACUCACGAAAGUAACUCCACCUGACGUCAAAGAUUCCUGGGACUCAAAACAUUCAGACUCAAGUUUCUCAAAAAAUGAACUGUCAGGACCAGAGUUAGGUCCAGAAUUUGCAUUAGGAAAUGGCUCGACCUUCAGAGAAGUUGUGAAAGGCCAGCAGCUUUUCCAGGUUAAACAAACACUAUCUCUUUCUACACACAGACUCGGAAGUACAACAAAACAGACACAGCUCAAAAAAUAAUGGGAAGUGCAAUCCAAUUUAAAGAGCUUGGGGACAGGCCCAACCUAUAAAAAUUCUUCUGUAACAAAGAAAACAAACAGACACACACAAACUGCAAAUACUGGUCACACUCCCACUCACCAUAUUCAGUGUCAUAACCCAGAUCUUGGGCAGGAGCAGCAAAGUGGAGCGCGCCAGAUGAAGAAAAGGAAAGGUGUAGUACAGGCAGUUGACAGCAAUACUGGGGGCCCGUGAGGCCUCGGGUCCAGAAGCCUGGCGUGCAACCACCACCAUCUUCUCUCACUGAGCUUGGAGACACAACAGUGACACUACAAACCAAACGUGAGUUUUCAGCACUGGAGAGCUCCUUUCUUAUUUUUGACGUUUCAAGUAACUGCUGAGUCCAAAGAUGAGUUUUGAUCAAAUCAGCCACAGCACUGACACUAUGGACAGCACAUAGCUUAGAUUUCACUAUUUAUCAUAGCAAAGAUUGUAAGUCAGGCUUAUUUUAUUGCUACAUUUUCCCCAUAUCCAAUCUGGGAACAUUUGAAUCCACCCACAUUUUCAUAUCAUACUGGCACGGCUUAGAGUUGUUUAAAACAAACAAACAAACAUGCAAAUCUGGAUUGAUCCUCUGCUUGGAAAAGUGUUGAUUUAUUUACUCUGCACUGAUUCACCCCCUCCAAAUACAUAGCUUCUAAUAGGCAGAAUUGGAGGAGCAGGUGCCACAAACUAUGGUUUAAAAAAUAUGCAGGCACCAUACCUGUGUGUUUAACUAUACCUGAAAUCUACUGAUACUCUAAACCAGCUACAUUAAAGGCAACUCUGGGGGCAUCUAGAUAAAGUCUUAAUCCUGAUGGCAAUAUGUGCUUGUUCUGGAGUCUAAACAGGAUAUUUGUGUUGUGCCUUUGGCCAGCCAAGUGGUACAAGGGAAGAGGAUGUAAAGCCUACAUCUAACUAUAGCAGGUCUUCAAGCUUAUUAUCCUGUCACAAGUUUAUAAAGAUAAGGACCUAAUCAUUUGGGAGCUGUGUAGUCAAAAUGGUCAGAAUGCAAAUGCACUGUUAUACUGUGUAAAAUCAAGUCAAACAUCCUGCAGAUCCUUGGCUGUCUCUGGUUAUGACCUCAGACACUUAAAAAUGAAACCUCAAGUAUGCUGGGAGAUAAUUAUCAGAAUGUUUGGGUAUCUCCAUGUUGCUUCUUGUAAUAAGAGACUCAUUAC
rnacentral:lncRNA from 1 species